rnacentral:rRNA from 1 species
GAUGAACGAGGGGGGAGGGGAGAAUACAAGCAAGUCGAACGAAACUUCUUUAUCACCGAGUGCUUGCACUCACCGAUAAAGAGUUGAGUGGCGAACGGGUGAGUAACACGUGGGCAACCUGCCCAAAAGAGGGGGAUAACACUUGGAAACAGGUGCUAAUACCGCAUAACCAUAGUUACCGCAUGGUAACUAUGUAAAAGGUGGCUAUACUACCGCUUUUGGAUGGGCCCGCGGCGCAUUAGCUAGUUGGUAGGGUAAAGGCUUACCAAGGCAAUGAUGCGUAGCCGAAUUGAGAGGUUGAUCGGCCACAUUGGGACUGAGACACGGCCCAAACUCCUACGGGAGGCAGCAGUAGGGAAUCUUCCACAAUGGGCGAAAGCCUGAUGGAGCAACGCCGCGUGGGUGAAGAAGGUCUUCGGAUCGUAAAACCCUGUUGUUAGAGAAGAAAGUGCGUGAGAGUAACUGUUCACGUUUCGACGGUAUCUAACCAGAAAGCCACGGCUAACUACGUG